GACGAACGCUGGCGGCGUGCUUAACACAUGCAAGUCGAACGGAAAGGCCCUGCUUUUGUGGGGUGCUCGAGUGGCGAACGGGUGAGUAACACGUGAGUAACCUGCCCUUGACUUUGGGAUAACUUCAGGAAACUGGGGCUAAUACCGGAUAGGAGCUCCUGCUGCAUGGUGGGGGUUGGAAAGUUUCGGCGGUUGGGGAUGGACUCGCGGCUUAUCAGCUUGUUGGUGGGGUAGUGGCUUACCAAGGCUUUGACGGGUAGCCGGCCUGAGAGGGUGACCGGCCACAUUGGGCCUGAGAUACGGCCCAGACUCCUACGGGAGGCAGCAGUGGGGAAUAUUGCACAAUGGGCGGAAGCCUGAUGCAGCAACGCCGCGUGCGGGAUGACGGCCUUCGGGUUGUAAACCGCUUUCGCAUGUGACGAGGCGUGAGUGACGGUAAUGGGUAAAGAAGCACCGGCUAACUACGUG
rnacentral:rRNA from 1 species